CGGGCGCUAACGUGACAGCGCUUCCGGUUCGGGUGCCGGCGGUGCCGCCGCUCCCUCGGCGGGCGGAGUGUGGGGCUCGGGCACCCGGCGGCAUCGGGGCGGGCGCUGGGGCCGCGCGGCGCUGCCGCUGCUGCUCCGGGCUGCUGCCGGGGCUCCCGUGCCGCCGGCCGUGCGCGGGAGGGCGGUGCGGGGAUUUCCCCGCGCUGAGGGGAACCGGCCCCGGCGCCUCCCGAACCCGCCGCUCCGGCGCUGCCAGGGAGUUUGUGAUCAAUUAAAAAGAUGCCUUGUAUUCUCGGAGUGUUCCAUUCUGCCUCUGCUGUUUUUCCUGCUAGUCUGGAUCCUCUGCUUAGAUUUUUUUUUUCUUCCUAUUUUAGAUGCCCUGGCUGUGGUGGAUGUCCCGGUUGAGGGCAGUGAUGGCUUUCAUGAAGAAAUCUUUAAAUGAAGACGGGAUUACCCAAACCUUUCCCUUCCCUGCUGCACUAGAAGCCAGGAAUAUCCUGUUGCUUCAGUCUGAAAACGGAACAGGACACCUUGAUAAGCGUGAUUCCUAGAGCUGAAGGGAGACACCACAGCCAGACAAGUUUAAAAAUCACGAGGAGGUGAGCAAAGAACCUGCUGUGCCCCUGGAUUCUGCAUUUACCACUUUGCUAAAGAGAGCCUAUGAGAGAGGAAGCAAUACCCUACUGGAAGGUGGUGUUCAGACAAAAUUGGCUUCCUGGCUCCCACCUGACCAGCUUUUGUUGGGAGUAAAGCAUGUGCUGUUAUACCUGAAAUCCACAGUGGAGAACUUCAGCAGGCUUGGUAAAACUUUGGGUCCUCAGCUUGUUGAUCUCUGUGUGGACCUGCUGAGCAUCUUGUUGUGCCGGGACAAUGAAAUAAAGCUGGAGCAGCAGCAGAAGCAGGAGGAGCAUCAGGCUGAUGGGAUCUCUUCAUGGAUGAGGAGCCUCUGAUGACAGAAGUGUCUUCAAAUGACAAGACCCUGGAGGAUGCACUCACCUUGAUUUUCAGACAUCCUGCACUGGAGAGCUGGUUCCUGGCGUUGGAGCUGCGCUCUGUUCCUCA